rnacentral:rRNA from 1 species
UGCAGUCGAACGGCAGCGCGGGGCAACCUGGCGGCGAGUGGCGAACGGGUGAGUAAUAUAUCGGAACGUGCCCUGGAGUGGGGGAUAACGCAGCGAAAGUUGCGCUAAUACCGCAUACGAUCUAAGGAUGAAAGCGGGGGAUUCGCAAGAACCUCGUGCUCCUGGAGCGGCCGAUAUCUGAUUAGCUAGUUGGUGGGGUAAAGGCCUACCAAGGCAUCGAUCAGUAGCUGGUCUGAGAGGACGACCAGCCACACUGGAACUGAGACACGGUCCAGACUCCUACGGGAGGCAGCAGUGGGGAAUUUUGGACAAUGGGCGAAAGCCUGAUCCAGCAAUGCCGCGUGAGUGAAGAAGGCCUUCGGGUUGUAAAGCUCUUUUGUCAGGGAAGAAACGGUGAAGGCUAAUAUCCUUUGCUAAUGACGGUACCUGAAGAAUAAGCACCGGCUAACUACGUGCCAGCAGCCGCGGUAAUACGUAGGGUGCAAGCGUUAAUCGGAAUUACUGGGCGUAAAGCGUGCGCAGGCGGUUUUGUAAGUCUGUCGUGAAAUCCCCGGGCUCAACCUGGGAAUUGCGAUGGAGACUGCAAGGCUAGAAUCUGGCAGAGGGGGGUAGAAUUCCACGUGUAGCAGUGAAAUGCGUAGAGAUGUGGAGGAACACCGAUGGCGAAGGCAGCCCCCUGGGUCAAGAUUGACGCUCAUGCACGAAAGCGUGGGGAGCAAACAGGAUUAGAUACCCUGGUAGUCCACGCCCUAAACGAUGUCUACUAGUUGUCGGGUUUUAAUUAACUUGGUAACGCAGCUAACGCGUGAAGUAGACCGCCUGGGGAGUACGGUCGCAAGAUUAAAACUCAAAGGAAUUGACGGGGACCCGCACAAGCGGUGGAUGAUGUGGAUUAAUUCGAUGCAACGCGAAAAACCUUACCUACCCUUGACAUGUAC